UCAACCAAACGUGUGCGUCUCUGAUUACACGGGCUCUUUUCGUGGUUAUCAUAAUUUUCAUUCCUUGUAAUAUUGUGGUCUAUAAUGACCUACUUUAUGUUGUGUCAACAAAUUCAUGCUCAACUGCAUAGAAUCGUUGUCAGAAAGCAAAGAUAUAGAGAGACAGUGUGGAUUAACGGUAGCUAUGAUAAUCAUUAGACAUUCUUCGUUCCAUUAGCAAAGCAAAAAACACGAUGAAAGACAAGAUUUUAUCGUUGCAAAAUAUCUAUUCAAUGAAGAUAAUAUUUAAACAUCUGCCCAGAAUACAAGAAAUUUCAUUUUCUUGAGUCGAAAAUAUAUUUGAAGCAAAAGAAACUUUUUUAUCAAGGAAGAUCUACUUUGUGUAUCAAAGCAAUGAAAAAUUUCCUUUUUCCGCAUUUCUAUUCCAGUUUUAGUGAAUGAAUGUUGAUGCUGUUACUCUUAUUAAAAUCCAUCUACGGAAUGCAUGAAAAUUCAUGGAGCCUUAAAGUCAAUUUUAGCUAUCACUUCUACAGAAUGUGGCAAAGUCAGUCUGUUGGAGACUCCCCAAUGUUUCUAUAUCACUCAGUCAAACUGUAAAUCUAAGAUUAAAGUUCUUCGUGACAGACUAACGUGAUUAAUGACAUGAAUAUACUGGAGAAGAUAAAUAUUAAAAAUUUUACCAUCAGUUAACUUUCUUAGAACGUUCACAACAUCACCAGGGACAAGACUAAGUUCAUCUGAUUGCUGGGCUUGAUAAUUAUGAAUGACAUUCACCUGAGGGCAAUCUGAAAAAUACAUUGAAAGUUUUAAAUCGUAGAUAAUUUAACAAAGCGUUUUGUACGAUAUACUAAGGGGAUGACUCAUGUUUUACUUGCAACAUAUGGAAGGAAAUUUCUAAUAAAAUUAUAUUACACAAAGUA